GCAAACUUGGUCAUUUAGAGGAAGUAAAAGUCGUAACAAGGUCUCCGUAGGUGAACCUGCGGAGGGAUCAUUAAUGAGAACUUGCCCUUACGGGUAGAUCUCCCACCCUUUGUUUAUUAUACCUUUGUUGCUUUGCUAGGCCCGUCCUCGGACCGCCGGCUUCGGCUGGCCAGCGCCUGGCAGAGGACCCAAACUCUUUUAUUAUUGUCGUCAGAGUACUAUAUCAAUAGUUAAAACUUUCAACAACGGAUCUCUUGGUUCUGGCAUCAAUGAAGAACGCAGC
rnacentral:misc_RNA from 1 species